rnacentral:rRNA from 1 species
UACAGAGGGUGCGAGCGUUGUCCGGAAUCACUGGGCGUAAAGGGCGCGUAGGCGGGAUGGCAAGUCAGUCGUGAAAUCUCUCGGCUCAACCGAGAAACGUCGGCUGAUACUGCCGUUCUUGAGGGAUGCAGAGGAGACUGGAAUUCCCGGUGUAGCGGUGAAAUGUGUAGAGAUCGGGAGGAACACCAGUGGCGAAGGCGGCCUUCUGGGCUCUACCUGACGCUGAGACGCGAAAGCGUGGGGAGCGAACCGGAUUAGAUACCCGAGUAGU